GAUGAACGCUAGCGGCAGGCUUAAUACAUGCAAGUUGAGGGGCAGCAUGAUAUACGCGAGUAUAUUGAUGGCGACCGGCGGACGGGUGAGUAAUAGGUAGGAGACCUACCUCAUACAGGGGGAUAGCAUAGAGAAAUCUGUGGUAAUACCCCAUGAGGUUAUAUGAAUAGAGGCAUAUAAUCAAAGCAUAAGCGAUUAUGCGGUAUGAGAGGGGCCUACUGACCAUUAGCUAGUUGGUGAGGUAAGGGCUCACCAAGGCGAAGAUGGUUAGGGGUUUUUGAGAGAGAGACCCCCCACAUUGGAACUGAGAGACGGUCCAGACUCCUACGGGAGGCAGCAGUAGGGAAUAUUGGGCAAUGGGCGAAAGCCUGACCCAGCCAUGCCGCGUGAAGGAAGACGGCCUUAUGGGUUGUAAACUUCUUUACUACGCGAAUAGAGGUUAGUACGAGAUACUAAUAGGAAGGUAGUGUAGUAAAAGCACCGGCUAACUCCGUGCC
rnacentral:rRNA from 1 species